CAGCAGGCAAGGUGAGAUGGGCAAGGCAAUCCACUCGGAGUAGGCCAAGCCCCAGUCACCAACCGGCCGACGCGCUGGGUUUGCCGCUCUCCCGAGCCCUGGGGAAGAAUCCCGGGACUCGGCGAUGAAGCCUCUGCCUUUUCUGUUUAAAGGUGUCACCAGGGUAGCCUUCAGCAAUGGCCGAGGAGUUGCGCCCAGGCGUGCCCCACGACGAUGGCGUCAGCCUCCGAGUGCGGCUGAAGCGUGCGGCCCCAGGAGCCGGGCAUUCUUGGGAAAAGAACGAAGAAACAACAGGAAGUUGUUUAACAAGAGUGCCAGCAGGACCUUCCCAGAUGUCGAGGCAGCCUUCCUUUGCACCUGACACAGACCGGCAUCCCCAGAUGUCUGAGAGAUAAGUAGAG